UUCAUCUGUGGAAUUUUUUUUUUUUAAGUAGUCUCCAUGCCCAUCAUGGAACCCAGUGUGGGGUUUGAACUCAAUACCCUGAGAUCAAGACCAGAGCUGAGAUCAAGAGUCAGACACUUAACCAACUGAGUCUACCAGGCAUCCCUCAUCUGUGGAAUUUUGAAUGUUUCAUCUAUUUUCUUCUGCAGCCUUUUCAAUUAUUUUUCUGGAAGUGAUGUUCACCAUUUGCAUUUCUGAUCCCUGGUGGUGGUGUCUACUAUCCAUGCUACUCUGACACUCACUCACUGCUGCUCUCCAGUGUCCCAGCUCUGAGGUUGUUCUCCCUUUACCCUUGUGAUUCCUGUCCUUUUUCCUCUCGGAGAUUUCUAGCUAAGGGAAAGGAUGGUCCCUAUUCUCACUAGUCCUAAGGCAGGCUUGGCCUCCUUGGUUUCUUGCAGCCCCUUGAUGUUAAUACUUACUAGCCUUUCCCUUUCUCUUGUAGAUCUCUUUCAAGGUCCCCAGAAAUUGGUUGGAAAGCAACCAGUGUGGACGCUAAGAAUGCCAUAUUCACAAAUAUUUCUCAUUCCACUUGUGCCAACCCGUGGGCCCAGCCAGACCUCAACUGCUGUCUCCCAACUCAGGUGCUCUCUUCCAAGUUGGUGAGGAGUUAUUGAAAACAGGUCAGAAAACUACCCUCAGAACUGCUAUUUUGGGAACUCCAUACCUCUUCACCUGCUCGCAGCUCUCUGUGUUCCAAGUCCUAUAAUGAUCAGGGCAGUUUUAGCCCUUGUGCUAACGCCUCUGUAGACCAGUUGCUUUCACUCUGUUUCCUUAUUACUGCAUGUAUCCUAAUCCCAGCGAGAUUACUAGGAUAGGCAUGCCAUCACCUAGAGAGUGUUGAAGGUUUUGCACCACGCUAGUGCUUUGGCUGAAGAAAUUCAUCAGGGGGCAUGUCUGCAGGGACACUUUAUAUAAGAGAAGAGCAUCUUGUGCCCUGAGUAUGAAUUUGCUAUUAAAAACUAUCAGGGGGAUCCCUGGGUGGUUCAGCGGUUUCACACCUGCCUUUGGCCCAGGGCGCGAUCCUGGAGUCCCAGGAUUGAGUACCACGUCGGGCUCCCUGCAUGGAGCCUGCUUCUCCCUCCUCCUGUGUCUCUGCCUCUCUGUCUCUCUAUGUCUAUCAUAAAUAAAUAAAAAUAAAAAUCUUUAAAAAAAAUUAUCAGGACUGGGAAAAGGCAUAUCGAUUCAGCUCAUCAUCUGAGAGCACCCUGACUUAAGCUGAUUAGAAACGUAUUUGGAGUCCGGAGUGCACACAUUUCUUUACUCAUCCCUUCAGGUCAUAUGCAGUUGGUAUAGAGACUAUUUUGAAUCAGUGCUGGGAGUAUCUGCUUUUGAAUCCUUCCUUGCUCCUUUUUCAAAUCUCCUCGUCCAAAGUACCAGUUUUAUCCUUCCCGUUCCUUUUGUAAUGAAACCAGCUCGUCUCAUCUUUGUGUCUCCCCUGGAAUCGACAUCAGAAAUCUCCUUUUGCCUCUGGAUGUCACAUUCUUCAGAUUGGAAUUUUAAUGACGCUGUGGUGGCGCUGUAAUGUGUCGACUUGUCAAGGGUGAACGGGUUCCUUAAAAUUUCCUUUCCUGGAUGUUGCUGGUUAAGAGGAGAUCAAGAGAAAUUCUUGUGGGUGAUUUGUAAGCGGAUGUGAAGCAGCAGCUGUGUGUGUCUCACAUGCACCACUGACCUGCUGAUUCCUCCUUGGGCCAGUAGUGGGGCCAGCAAUCCUUCACCUUUUGCCAGGCCCUCCAUCAGCUCCUCUGACUCUUGGGCCAGGUGUGUAUACUUAGCUCCCAGGCUUUGUAGGAGACCCCAAUCACCAGGGUCACCCAGUCUGAAACAUGGACAAGGGUUUCAGUUUGUAUUGUGAGUACCAGUUUGCUUUUUUUCUCUGCCACAUUAUGUCUGUCCUUCCUUCCAACUACUUGCCCUGUGGGUUUUAAGCUCCAGAAUCAAAUGUGAAGACAAGCACUUAAUCAGUUCCCUAAAUUCCAGGGGGCCAAAUCCUUGUGAAUAAUACUUAAUACUUGCCUAUUUUUAAAUCCAUAUAUCCGUGUGGCUUUGCCUUGCUAAUAAAAUCCUGACUGAUACUAAUUUGGUAGCAGAAAAGUUUCUAGAAGAACAGAAUUUUAAGAAUGAUUACUUUGGGGGUCCUGGGUGGCUCAGUCCCUUAAGCAUCUGUCUAUGGCUCAGGUAUCAGGUAUCAUGACCUGAGAGUCCUGGGAUCAAGCCCUGCAUUGGGCUCCCUGCUGAGCUUCUCCCUCUUGCUCUGCUGCUUCCCCUGCUUGUGCUUUUCUCUCUCUGUCAAAUAAAUAAAAUAAAAUAAAAUAAAAUAAAAUAAAAUAAAAUAAAAUAAUAAAAUAAAUUAUUCCAAAUUGGUUCUGGGUUUUUCUGAAUUGGUUCUUUGAUCUUAUUAGAUCUGGAAGUAUUAAGGACUCUGUUUCCAGUGGUUAAGAGGGUCCUGAUAUGCUGUGCCAUGCAAUAGUAAAAUGGUCACAUAAAUUAUCACCUUUAGAUAUUUGUAAUCAAGCAACUAUAGAAGGUAAAGCUCUUGGUGACUAAGCAUCGGCUGUCAUAAACACUUUUUCUAACAAUAAGAGUGUAAUGAUAUGGGUUGAUUGAUUGUAACUGUGCUGGGGAAAUUGGGGGAAAAUAUAU
rnacentral:lncRNA from 1 species